AUACAUCUGAAGAGUCUCAAACAGGACGAAACACAGGUUUUGGAU
rnacentral:hammerhead_ribozyme from 1 species